GCCCUUGUAGCUCAGUCGGUAGAGCAGCGGUUUUGUAAACCGAAGGUCGCGAGUUCGAAUCUUGCCGGGGGCACCA
rnacentral:tRNA from 1 species